GGUUCGGUGGCGCAGUGGUAGCGCAGCAGAUUGCAGAUCUGACGGUCACGUGUUCGAUCCACGUUCGGACCU